rnacentral:rRNA from 1 species
GUGGAUUAGAUACCCUGGUAGUCCACGCCCUAAACGAUGAACACUCGAUGUUGGCGAUAUACGGUCAGCGUCUAAGCGAAAGCGUUAAGUGUUCCACCUGGGGAGUACGCCCGCAAGGGUGAAACUCAAAGGAAUUGACGGGGGCCCGCACAAGCGGAGGAGCAUGUGGUUUAAUUCGAUGAUACGCGAGGAACCUUACCCGGGCUUGAAAGUUAGUGAAUGAUUCAGAGACGAAUCAGUCCUUCGGGACACGAAACUAGGUGCUGCACGGCCGUCGCCAACU